CAGGCCUAACACAUGCAAGUCGAGCGGUAACAGGGUUUCACCGUGUUCUUGACACUCCGGGCUAUAUGCGGGAGGUAAGAUUCGAGGACACAGUGAAACUGCUGACGAGCGGCGGACGGCUGAGUAACGCGUGGGAACGUACCCCAAACUGAGGGAUAACGCACCGAAAGGUGUGCUAAUACCGCAUGUGAUCUUCGGAUUAAAGUCUUCGGACGGUUUGGGAAUGGCCUGCGUACGAUUAGAUAGUUGGUAGGGUAAUGGCCUACCAAGUCGACGAUCGUUAGAUGGUUUGAGAAGAUGAUCAUCCAGACUGGGACUGAGACACGGCCCAGACUCCUACGGGAGGCAGCAGUAGGGAAUCUUUCACAAUGGGCGAAAGCCUGAUGGAGCAACGCCGCGUGCAGGAUGACGGCCUUCGGGUUGUAAACUGCUUUUAAAGCUGAGAAAUAUGAUGGUAAGCUUUGAAUAAGGACCGGCUAACUACGUGCCAGCAGCCGCGGUCAUACGUAGGGUCCAAGCAUUAUCCGGAUUGACUGGGUGUAAAGAGUUGCGUAGGUGGUUUGUUAAGUAGGUAGUGAAAUCUGGUGGCUCAACCAUUCAGACUAUUACCUAAACUGAUAGACUCGAGAAUGUUAGGGGUAGCUGGAAUUUCUAGUGUAGGAGUGAAAUCCGUAGAUAUUAGAAAGAACACCGAUAGCGUAGGCAGGCUACUGGGACAUUUCUGACACUAAGGCACGAAAGCGUAGGGAGCAAACGGGAUUAGAUACCCUGGUAGUCCGCGCAGUAAACGAUGGAUGCCCGCGGUGUGGGGGAUUCCCUUGCGCCGCCAAGCGAAAGCGUUAAGCAUCCCACCUGGGGAGUACGCCGGCAACGGUGAAACUCAAAGGAAUUGACGGGGGCCCGCACAAGCGGAGGAAUAUGUGGUUUAAUUCGAUGAUACGCGAGGAACCUUACCUGGGCUCAAACGUAGGCUGCAUUGGGUGGAAACAUCCAUUCCCUUCGGGGCCGCCUGCGAGGUGCUGCAUGGUUGUCGUCAGCUCGUGCCGUGAGGUGUCGGGUCAAGUCCCAUAACGAGCGCAACCCCUGUCGUCAGUUGCCAGCAGGUAAAGCUGGGGACUCUGUCGAGACUGCCGGCGCAAGCCGCGAGGAAGGUGGGGAUGACGUCAAAUCAGCACGGCCCUUACGUCCGGGGCGACACACGUGUUACAAUGGCGGCCACAGAGGGGCACUACCUGGCGACAGGAUGGGAAUCUCGAAAAGCCGUCUCAGUCCGGAUCGGAGUCUGCAACCCGACUCCGUGAAGCUGGAUUCGCUAGUAAUCGCGCAUCAGCCAUGGCGCGGUGAAUACGUUCCCGG
rnacentral:rRNA from 1 species